GACGAACGCUGGCGGCGUGCUUAACACAUGCAAGUCGAACGAAGAGCGAUGGAAGCUUGCUUCUAUCAAUCUUAGUGGCGAACGGGUGAGUAACGCGUAAUCAACCUGCCCUUCAGAGGGGGACAACAGUUGGAAACGACUGCUAAUACCGCAUACGAUCUAACCUCGGCAUCGAGGAAAGAUGAAAGGUGGCCUCUAUGUAUAAGCUAUCACUGAAGGAGGGGAUUGCGUCUGAUUAGCUAGUUGGAGGGGUAACGGCCCACCAAGGCGAUGAUCAGUAGCCGGUCUGAGAGGAUGAACGGCCACAUUGGGACUGAGACACGGCCCAGACUCCUACGGGAGACAGCAGUGGGGAAUCUUCCGCAAUGGACGAAAGUCUGACGGAGCAACGCCGCGUGAGUGAUGACGGCCUUCGGGUUGUAAAGCUCUGUUAAUCGGGACGAAAGGCCUUCUUGCGAAUAGUGAGAAGGAUUGACGGUACCGGAAUAGAAAGCCACGGCUAACUACGUG
rnacentral:rRNA from 1 species